rnacentral:rRNA from 1 species
GACGAACGCUGGCGGCGUGCUUAACACAUGCAAGUCGAACGGAAAGGCCCUGCUCUUGUGCGUUGCUCGAUUGGCGAACGGGUGAGUAACACGUGAGUAACCUGCCCUUGACUUUGGGAUAACUUCAGGAAACUGGGGCUCAUACCGGGUAGGAGCUCCUGCUCCGUGGUGGGGGUUAGAAAGUUUCGGCGGUUGGGUCUAGACUCGCGGCUUAUCAGCUUGUUGGUCGGGUAGUGGCUGACCAAGGCUUUGACGGGUAGCCGGCCUGAGAGGGUGACCGGCGUCCAGGGGACUGAGAUACGGACCAGACUCCUACGGGAGGCAGUAGUGGGGAGUAUUGCACAGUGAGCGGAAGUCAGAGGCAGCAACGCCGGGUGCGGGAAGAUGGCCUGUGAGUGGUGAACAGCUGUGGCCGGUGACGAAGCGUGAGUGACGGUAACGGGUAAAGAAGCAACGGCUAACUACGUG